rnacentral:rRNA from 1 species
UAUCCUUACGUGAAUACAUAGCGUGAGGAAGGCAGACCCAGGGAACUGAAACAUCUAAGUACCUGGAGGAAGAGAAAGAAAAAUCGAUUUCCUGAGUAGCGGCGAGCGAAACGGAAAGAGCCCAAACCAAGAAGCUUGCUUCUUGGGGUUGUAGGACACUCUAUACGGAGUUACAAAAGAAAGUUAUAAAUGAAGCGGUCUGGAAAGGCCCGCCAAAGACGGUAACAGCCCGGUAGUUGAAAUGGCUUUCCCUCCAGAGUGGAUCCUGAGUACGGCGGAACACGUGAAAUUCCGUCGGAAUCCGGGAGGACCAUCUCCCAAGGCUAAAUACUCCCUAGUGACCGAUAGUGAACCAGUACCGUGAGGGAAAGGUGAAAAGCACCCCGGAAGGGGAGUGAAACAGUUCCUGAAACCGUGU